rnacentral:rRNA from 1 species
GAAUCUUGGACAAUGGGCGAAAGCCUGAUCCAGCCAUGCCGCGUGAGUGAAGAAGGCCUUAGGGUUGUAAAACUCUUUUAGCGGGGAAGAUAAUGACGGUACCCGCAGAAUAAGCCCCGGCUAACUUCGUGCCAGCAGCCGCGGUAAUACGAAGGGGGCUAGCGUUGUUCGGAAUUACUGGGCGUAAAGCGCACGCAGGCGGACUGAUCAGUCAGGGGUGAAAUCCCGGGGCUCAACCCCGGAACUGCCUUUGAUACUGUCAGUCUCGAGUCCGGGAGAGGUGAGUGGAAUUCCUAGUGUAGAGGUGAAAUUCGUAGAUAUUAGGAAGAACACCAGUGGCGAAGGCGGCUCACUGGCCCGGUACUGACGCUCAGGUGCGAAAGCGUGGGGAGCAAACAGG